CCUACGGGGGGCUGCAGUGGGGAAUUUUGGACAAUGGGCGCAAGCCUGAUCCAGCAAUGCCGCGUGCAGGAUGAAGGCCCUCGGGUUGUAAACUGCUUUUGUACGGAACGAAAAGCCUGAGGCUAAUAUCCUCGGGUCAUGACGGUACCGUAAGAAUAAGCACCGGCUAACUACGUGCCAGCAGCCGCGGUAAUACGUAGGGUGCAAGCGUUAAUCGGAAUUACUGGGCGUAAAGCGUGCGCAGGCGGUUUUGUAAGACAGUGGUGAAAUCCCCG
rnacentral:rRNA from 1 species